rnacentral:antisense_RNA from 14 species
AUACAAGAUAUAAAAAAACAACUUAGUGUUUUUUCUAGGUAAGUCGCUAUCACAAACUUUGGCGAGGGAGUGAGCGACUUCUUUUUAUUUUGUU